CUACUUUCAACCAGCCCAGUAAGUCUGCUGUGGUUUGGGUUUUGUUUUUAGGAAGUUGAGGUUUUAGUUUGUAUUUCUCUCCAUUUAUAUCAGGGUCCAUCUAGUGUUGCCUUGAUCAGAAUGGUCAAGAGUGGCUGUCAGACAGAGAAAAACCUAGGGUCUUACAUCUGGGUAUUGCUUCAUAAUACUUCUGCCAGAACCUAUCAGCAUUUCUUCCCAUGCAGAGCUUGGUGACCUGGGACAAUGACAGACUCACCUGUGUCCAGAAGGGGGAAAAGAAGAACAGAGGCUGGACCCAUUGGCUGGGAGGGGAUCAACUCCACCUGGAAAUGUUCUGUGAAGGUCAAGUUUGCAAGCAGACGUUCCAGAGAGCCUGAUUGGUCCCCAGUAAGAGAAUCUACUUGUGGAAGGAACAGACGUCCACCUGUCCAGACUUGGGGAGGGGAACUGGCAGUCGAGGAGAUUUAAUAUACUCUAUACCAGACACCCUGUGGAUUGUGGGGAAGUGGCUUGGCUCUAAUAAAACUGUCUAAACAAUGA